UCAAAUGGAAAAUUUCCCCAACUAUUGUGCAGCAUCACUAUGAAAUUUAGCAUUACAUACUUUAUAAUUUUUCCUAAUUUUCUUCCAUGCCUGAAUUACACCGACAAAGAUCUGAAGGUGUGAAUGAACAUGUUUGGUUGAUCUUUGACUUUAUAUGUAUUUGUAUUAAUUUCCUUUUUUUCUUUCUUCAUUCGCAGUCCUUUUAUUCUUUUUCCAAAUCAGAAUGGACGUCCGAUUCAAAAAGUGCUCAAGUGCAACCAGAUCUACUCAAAAUGGUGCAUUUUCUCUCUAUGCAUUUAGCCUUCUAACGCUGUAAUUGCUGUUUUGUUUGGAUUUUCUCUGUGUGCUUCUAUGGUGCCACUCCAGUGUUUUCGUUUUUCUCUUUACUCCUUUUCAUUCUUUGUAUUUACCGGGAAAAUGAUGGGUGUAUUAGAGUUGAAGAAGGAUCUAAAUAAAAAAAGGAAGUAUGUUUUGGUGAUUUUGUCGGAGAGAUAACGAUAAUUUUGGAGAAUAAAUUAGAGGAGGAAGAAUGUGAUUUGACUGAUGGUAAGAUAAAACAGGGUAGCUUAUUGUUUCAUUUUUGUCAGUGCUGCUCGGUCUCUCUCGGGGCUGAUGUAGUGUACUGGCAUUGACUUGAAUCAUAUUAUUGUAAAAUCGCUUUACGAAAAGAUAUUAUAUUAAAUUAGGCUCACACUCACUGAACAUGUGCAACGUUCUUCAUAUUUCCAGCGUGUCGAUGCAUUUGAUUCAGUCAAAAUAACGAAGAAAAGGAUGGUCCCUGAAAAUGAGCGGAAUAUGCAUUGCGUGUGAGUAGUUACUUUUAUAACUUCAUCUUAUCAUGUUACAUGACAAGUUGAAGUUUGUUGCUAUCAUAUUAAUGUCAUAUGGCAUUCAUUUUAAUAAUUGCUCAUCUAAGAACCAAGAGGAAAAUAGUGCCUUUCAUCAUGCACUUGAUCAAUGAAAGAUGAAAGUCGUUGUUCAAGGUCUGUUAUUAUUCUACAAGUUAAUCAGUACAUCUUGUUACUUUAUAUUUGGGUGUAGUAUUCUUGUAUUUUCUUUUGUUCUCCUAUAGCUUUGUAUGAUUUUGUCUUCGCCGUUGCAUCUCACUCUAACAU
rnacentral:lncRNA from 1 species